rnacentral:rRNA from 1 species
UUGGAGGGCAAGUCUGGUGCCAGCAGCCGCGGUAAUUCCAGCUCCAAUAGCGUAUAUUAAAGUUGCUGCAGUUAAAAAGCUCGUAGUUGAAUUUCGGGACCAUCAUGUCGGUCGUGCCUCGGUACGUACUGGCAUUGUUGGUUUCUCCCUUCUGACGAACCAUGAUGUCAUUUAUUUGGUGUUGUGGGGAAUCAGGACUGUUACUUUGAAAAAAUUAGAGUGUUUAAAGCAGGCUCACGCUUGAAUACAUUAGCAUGGAAUAAUGAAAUAGGACGUAUGAUUCUAUUUUGUUGGUUUCUAGGAUCGACGUAAUGAUUAAUAGGGAUAGUUGGGGGCAUUAGUAUUCAAUUGUCAGAGGUGAAAUUCUUGGAUUUAUUGAAGACUAACUACUGCGAAAGCAUUUGCCAAGGAUGUUUUCAUUAAUCAAGAACGAAAGUUAGGGGAUCGAAGACGAUCAGAUACCGUCGUAGUCUUAACCAUAAACUAUGCCGACUAGGGAUCGGAUGAUGUUAAUUUUUUAAUGACUCAUUCGGCGCCUUACGGGAAACCAAAGUGUUUGGGUUC